rnacentral:rRNA from 1 species
AGUCUGACCUGCCCUCUGAUAUUUAUAUUGAAUGGCUGCGAUAAUUUGAUCGUACAAAGGUAGCAUAAUAAUUAGUUUUUUAAUUAAGAACUGGAAUGAAAGGUUGGACGAAAAAAAAACUGUCUCAAUUUAAUUUAAAUUAGAAUUUUAUUUUUAAGUAAAAAAGCUUAAAUGAUUUUAAAAGACGAGAAGACCCUAUAGAGUUUUAUAUUUAUGUAUUUUAUUUUUUAGUUUAAGAAUUUAAAUUUAAGAUUAAAUAAUAAAUAUUUAGUUGGGGUGAUUGAAAAAUUUAAUAAACUUUUUUUAUUAUUUUAACAUUUAUUUAUGAUAAAUUGAUCCAUAUUUUAUGAUUAAAAGAUUAAAUUACCUUAGGGAUAACAGCGUAAUUUUUUUUGAGAGUUCUAAUCGAAAGAAAAGUUUGCGACCUCGAUGUUGGAUUAAAAUUAAUUUUUGGUGUAGAAGCUAAAUAUAUUGGGUCUGUUCGACCUUUAAAAUUUUACAUGAUCUGAGUUUAAACCGGUGUAAGCCAGGUUGGUUUCUAUCUUUAA